rnacentral:lncRNA from 1 species
GAGUGUUGGCUUGGUCGAUCAAAAGCGAGUCAGGAGGACUCUGGUUGGUGAGUAAGUGUUGACACAAGUGAGUUGUCCAGUUUCGAGUUCUUAUUGGCUGGACAAGAGGUGAGCUGUCAAAGAUUCACUGCUCCUGCGUUUGUUGUCUUUGCCAUACAGUUGUAGUGCAAGUUUAGAGUCAGUCAUUAUAGAGUUCCAGUGUGAAGUCUAUUGGCCAUUUCUGUAUAAGAGAUGUCGCCUAAAACUCGUUGCAACUGA